rnacentral:rRNA from 1 species
AUGGGGGUGAAGUUGUAUGGAGCUGCACUAUUCUUAAACCCAAAUAGGAUCUAUGAUCUCAAAGCUAAGCCCGAGAAAGCACGAUAUUGUCAAAGGCUUAGGCAUAUGUUCAAUGAGGUGCUAUUGCACAUGGAGCCCGAUGAUGAUAAAGCAAGCGUGAUAAGUAGAUUGGCUGAUGACUAUGAAAGAGGUGAAGGUGAAUGCUUCAGCUCUAAGUUGGCAAUCAAUGACCGAACAAAAAAGAUUCCUCUCAUGCAGUUCUUUGGUGGGGUGCUUAUGGUGGCCUUGCUUAUGAGCUGCAACAUUUAG